rnacentral:rRNA from 1 species
CGCGAAGUUAGUGGAGCUAUGUCAAUAUAAGUGUUAGAUUUACAAUAUGUAGCAUAAUAUGGAUAAAUAUUUACAUAGGGGUGAUAUGCCUAUCAAAUCUAACGAUAUCUCGAUACUUUAGAAAAUCAUUAAGUGUUAUAUCAGCUAAAUAGUGACAAGGUUAUUUAGUAACACUAAUCGAUUAUAAUGGUGAGAUCAUGGUUUAAAUGCUAGAUUACUAUAAUUAUAAAUAUUAAUAUAUUAAGGGUUGUGUUUUUUAUAAAGUAAUAUUUAAUAAUUUAAGAUAUAAAUAAUGUAAUUAUUAGUAUAUUAUAGAUGUUAAAAAUGAACUCGGCAAUAUACCUUUCAACUGUUUAUCAAAAACAUAGCUAUAUGUAUAUAUACAUAGUAAUUUCUGCUCAAUGAGUUUUAAAUAGCCGCAGUACCCUGACUGUGCUAAGGUAGCGUAAUAAUUUGACUUAUAAUUGAAGUCCAGUAUGAAUGAAAUAUUGGGGGGUAGCUUUAUCUUUAACAAUCAAAGAAAUUAUUUAUUAAGUGAAAAAUCUUUAAUCUAAAUGAUAGACGAGAAGACCCUAGAAAUUUUUAUAAAAUGUUAUAAUUCAUUUUUGUUGGGGCAACAAAGUAACAUGAAACUUACUAUAUUUAACAAGAACAUAUAUGUGUAAGAUUAAAUUACUCUAGGGAUAACAGCGUUAUCUAUAAAAGCUUGCGACCUCGAUGUUGGACUAGGAAACAAAUACCUAGAA